rnacentral:rRNA from 1 species
UACAGAGGGUGCGAGCGUUAAUCGGAAUUACUGGGCGUAAAGCGUGCGUAGACGGUGGCGUAAGUCGGGUGUGAAAGCCCCGGGCUCAACCUGGGAAUUGCAUUCGAGACUGCGCCGCUAGGGUGCGGAAGAGGGAAGCGGAAUUUCCGGUGUAGCGGUGAAAUGCGUAGAUAUCGGAAGGAACAUCAGUGGCGAAAGCGGCUUCCUGGUCCAGCACCGACGUUCAGGCACGAAAGCGUGGGGAGCAAACAGG